CUCUUGUCUGCUGCUUUGGCAUUCCCUCGAUUUCUAACACCACCCUGACAUUUCUUCAUUCGGUACAUAUGCAUUUGGAACAUCAUUCAGUUAUGUUCAAUUAAACAAUUAAAUUCUAUCUGAUGCUAAUAGUACGGAGAUAUUCUGGUAUUACUCUAACAUUUCCGGUUGCUUUCAACCCUAAAUCCUACAUGCCAGCUGUGUAUGCGUAAGUAAUUAUCACCCCCCUAAGCAUUCCAGAUAGGUCUUUUUAACUCCUUAAGGAUGCAUACCGGAAACUUUCCGCCAUGCUGGUUCUACCCUUAAGGACGCAUGACGGAAAAAUUCUGUCAUGCAGUAUUUUUCCAGCAGGGUCUACCUUGCUGGUAACUAUGAGCCCCAUCUAUCAUUUGAUUCCUGGGGCUCACCUGGGGCCAGAAUUAGUGGCCCCAGACUGACCGAUGCUCU